UGAUGAUGAUGAUGAUGAUGAUGAUGAUGACGAUGAUAAUACAUAUUGAUAAUCAUCACCAAUAUAAUUACUAUUAUCAUUAUUAUCAUCAUAAUAC
rnacentral:miRNA from 1 species